rnacentral:rRNA from 1 species
UACGAAGGGGGCUAGCGUUGCUCGGAAUGACUGGGCGUAAAGGGCGCGUAGGCGGAUUGUACAGUCAGGCGUGAAAUUCCCGGGCUCAACCUGGGGGCUGCGCUUGAGACGUGCGAUCUUGAGUGGGGAAGAGGGUCGUGGGAUUCCCAGUGUAGAGGUGAAAUUCGUAGAUAUUGGGAAGAACACCGGUGGCGAAGGCGGCGACCUGGUCCUUGACUGACGCUGAGGCGCGAAAGCGUGGGGAGCAAACAGG